GGAUUAGAUACCCUGGUAGUCCACGCCGUAAACGAUGAGCACUAGUUGUUGUGGGUAUUGACCCCUGCAGUGACGACGCUAACGCAUUAAGCACUCCGCCUGGGGAGUACGGCCGCAAGGUUAAAACUCAAAGGAAUUGACGGGGGCCCGCACAAGCGGUGGAGCAUGUGGUUUAAUUCGAAGGUACGCGAAAAACCUUACCAGCUCUUGACAUGUUAGAUCAAAGAUCUAGGAGACUAGAUCCUCAUUUAGUUGGAUCUUUCACAGGUGCUGCAUGGCCGUCGUCAGCUCGUGCUG
rnacentral:rRNA from 1 species